rnacentral:lncRNA from 1 species
ACCCACUGGAUUGCUCGCGUCUCCCAGACAAGUGAAUGACGUCCUCUGAGGUCCCAGGCUGAAGGCUGCUUGAGAGCCAGGCUCCUCAUUCCCACGUGUAGCUCCAGUGCUCACAGAGCGGCAAGGAGGACUCCUUACUACUUUGCUAAAAGGAGAUCAAUGGGCUUUAAAGCCCAGGAAGCAACUGGAGAGUGAAACUGGACAGAUGCUGUGACCUUGGGGA